CCUACGGGAGGCAGCAGUGGGGAAUAUUGCACAAUGGGGGAAACCCUGAUGCAGCAACGCCGCGUGAGUGAAGAAGUAUUUCGGUAUGUAAAGCUCUAUCAGCAGGGAAGAGAAUGACGGUACCUGACUAAGAAGCCCCGGCUAACUACGUGCCAGCAGCCGCGGUAAUACGUAGGGGGCGAGCGUUAUCCGGAUUUACUGGGGGUAAAGGGAGCGUAGACGGUUCUGCAAGUCUGAAGUGAAAGCCCGGGGCUGAACCGCGGAACGGCUUUGGAAACUGUGGAACUGGAGUGCUGGAGAGGGAAGCGGAAGGCGUAGUGUAGCGGUGAAAUGCGUAGAUAUGAGGAGGAACACCAGUGGCGAAGGCAGCUUGCUGGACAGUAACUGACGUUGAGGCUCGAAAGCGUGGGGAGCAAACAGGAUUAGAUACCCCAGUAGUC
rnacentral:rRNA from 1 species